UAUAUACAUGUAUAUAUGUGAUUGAAUAAAAACGAAAGAAAUAAAAAGAAUCCGAAAACAGGAAUAAAAAGGAAAAGAAGAACACCUUUUUUUAUUUUUUUGAGAUUCUUGUAUUGAUUUCUCAAUAUAUUUUUUGUUUUUUUACAUUUGUUCCCCCCUUUUUACAAUGCAACACAUUCGGCUUUAUAGCCGAAAGAAAAGAAAAAAAGAUCUAAGAAAAUCUCUUAUUGCUACUGUUUUCUUCUACUUUGCGUGUUUCUUUUCUCUUUGCAGAGAGUUGUUGGCGCGGCAGGGAGGAGGCCGUACGGUGGCAGACGAUAGGUGGUGCGGCGCCAGAGAUUAGGAGGCUAGGGUUUCUCUUUUUUUGUUUAGGUUGUGGGCUGUUAGGGUUAGAUUUAGGUGGGUUGGGAUUUGGGUCUUUAUUGGGCCAUCUGAUUUGGGUUUGUAAUUGGGUUUGUUUGCCUGGGUCUAGGUUUGGCAUGGGUUAAGUGUUUUGGGUAUUGGGUUAAAAUUUUGGUAAUGGGCUGGCGAUUUUGAGCUUGUUGUUUUGGACCUUAAGGACUGUAAUUUGGACUUUUAUUUUGAGUUUAAUUGGGCCCCGGGCAAAAUGGCCUGCAACAAGUAUUAAUAACUUUA